AACGAACGCUGGCGGCAUGCCUAACACAUGCAAGUCGAACGAGACCUUCGGGUCUAGUGGCGCACGGGUGCGUAACGCGUGGGAACCUGCCCUUAGGUUCGGAAUAACUCCCCGAAAGGGGUGCUAAUACCGGAUAAUGUCUUCGGACCAAAGAUUUAUCGCCUUUGGAUGGGCCCGCGUUGGAUUAGCUAGUUGGUAGGGUGAAAGCCUACCAAGGCGACGAUCCAUAGCUGGUCUGAGAGGAUGAUCAGCCACACUGGGACUGAGACACGGCCCAGACUCCUACGGGAGGCAGCAGUGGGGAAUAUUGGACAAUGGGCGAAAGCCUGAUCCAGCAAUGCCGCGUGAGUGAUGAAGGCCUUAGGGUUGUAAAGCUCUUUUAACCGGGAUGAUAAUGACAGUACCGGGAGAAUAAGCUCCGGCUAACUCCGUG
rnacentral:rRNA from 1 species